rnacentral:rRNA from 1 species
AUUGAACGCUAGCGGCAGGCCUAACACAUUCACGUCGAACGAGUGGCGGACGGGUGAGUACUGUAUGGGAAACUGCCUGAUCGAGGGGGUUAACUCCUUGAAACGGUAGCUAAUACCGCAUACCAUCGGGUGUGCCCAGAUGGGAUUAGCUAGUAGUGGGGGUAAAGGCUCACCUAGGCGCCGAUCCCUAGCUGGUCUGAGAGGAUGGCCGUCCGGACUGGGAUCGAGACACGGUCCGGACUCUCAGGGGAGGCAGCAGUUGGGAGUAUUGCACACUGGGCGCAAGCCUGGUGCAGCCAGGCCACGUGUAUGAAGAGGGCCUUCGGGUUGCAAAGGACUUUCAGCGGGGAGGCGUUACCCGCAGAAGAAGCACCGGCUAACUCCGCGCCACCGGCGGCGUAAUUC